CGCAAAAAAAGUAGCUCCUCACUUUUAAUAGUUGUCUCUCUCUCUAGAACUUUCUGCAAUUUCCUUUCAUUUUCCUUUCUCUUUUCUUUUAAUUCCCAAGGACAAUUGUGUGAAGGAUGUACAGGUUUUCCUAAAAGCUACCAUAAGCAUUGCAAACAAGAAAAAGAAAGAGAAAUUUGCAAGCAUAUUCAUGACAAUUUUCAUACACUGUCCUAAUUGGAAACAGAGUGAUAAUAGAUAUGCCAAAAAGGAUAUCCAAAUUGAGUGACAGAUACAAGAAAACAACCUUCUCAUAGAAGCAGCUUCCUCCAAUUUGAAUUGAAUUUGAAUAGUUCUGGAGGCAAUAUGUCCUCACUGGCAGUUUUGCCACUAAUCAGCUGAGAAAUGAACUCUUGAAUUCUUUACCUAUCACAGAUACUUUGCCUCCCUUCCCAUGGACGAUGAAAAUCCUAUAUACAUAUGCAAGUGCACACCGAGCAAAGACACAUGAAGAGAGCAUGGAAAAGAGGAACAGAAUAAAACAGCUACUCCUUUGGAAAUAAAAGGAAUUACUUCUUCACACAAAGCACAUAAUUGACAAGAAGCAAUCUUGACAAUCAGUUUGGCAAUCAGUUUGAAUGACAUUAAAGGGAGAUUGAGUCUACUAUCAAGGUCUACCAGUCGUGAUGAUACCAAUAUCAAAAGUGGUAUGCAGUUCUCUGAAGAUGACAGCCACAGAUACUGGUGAAAUGUCAGGAAGAAACUCAUCUAAAACAUGGCCACAUAGCCCGAAAAGCCCACAAAAAACUAUGGAUGCCGGUCAUGAAAGCCUUCGACUUCACAUUGAAUACCAGUUGUUUACUACUAAUGUACAUGAGCAAAUGUUACUGUGCUUACUGCUUACCUGUAGACUUCCCAUCACUCUGCCAUGACCACUGUGGAAUAUAUUGCUAGACUAGAAAAGCAUUUGCUAUGAUCCAACACAGCCUUUCUCACUGAUAAACUUAACUGACAGAGUAAUGAUGAAAAGCUUAAGUUGAUUAAAUAAUGAAGAAAAAUUUAAAUCGGUGAUGACAAAUUUCAAUAAGAAGUAUGAUAGAUAAAUGCAGCAUUGCUGAAGAAACUUAUAUUGGUCUUUUAUUGUAGCAGGAAAUGAGCAGAUUAAUAGUUGACUUUACUUCUAACUUCUAAUUGCUUUUUAAAUUCAAAGUGCAUGUUAUUUUGUAUUAACUUCAAUAUUCUAAAUAAUAAAAAUUUACUUACAUUCAAACAAUGGACCAAAUUAUUAAAUUGCAA